AUUCUCGUUCUGGGUCCUUCUACAAGAAAAAAAAAAUCAGCCUUUGCUCUUCCCCGACCUCCAACGUUCCCUCUCGCAGCACGUCGCCGCCGCAGCGUCUCCGCCUCUACCCGCGUCUCCCCCUCCCCACUCAUCUACUCUCUUCUUGCUCUCUCUCAAUCUCUCCCGAUGGCCGCAGGGUGAGGGCGCCCAUGGCGCCGCACCGGCUAGGGCGGGCCCCAUCGCUAGUCGCGUGUGCGGUCGGAGCGCAACCCCGGCGUGCCACAGCUGGUGAGCGCACCCCCCGGCGCGAGCAGGUCCAAGCACUUUGGAUGCAGAUGCCCCGACGUAAGCAAGCCUCAUGUGGUGCCUCAGGCACGGGUGGCCGACGAGGACUCCGGUGCGAGUAGCCCCAGGUGAAGGUCCAUUGGAGCAUCAAGUUCAAUAGGGGGCUAGGUAGACAUCGAUAACAACAUCUGACAAAGGCUAGAAAAAACGUAUGGUGUUUGUUCUAAUGUGCUCAGAUCUAUCCAUCCCACCUUGCUGCUGGAUCCAUUCAUUCCCUCACCAGAGCUCUGUGUAAUAUGUGAGGCUUCCCUUUCUUCGUCUUCGUUGUGGCAUGAGUAUCCUCUCUGUUUUGGUACAUUUCCUUGGUCUAUUAUUAUUUAUGCAUUUUAGCUUUUCUUGUCUCAGAUACAUUUCUCAUGAUUUGUGCUAAGUGCAUUGACCCAUGCGCGAUUUGUGAAAAAAAUAUUCUCUGAUAGCGUACGAUCAAUAUUUCAUAAAGAAACAAUUCGUAGUAAUCUUGCAGCGCCUGAAUGACUUCUGUAUGAA